UACGGAGGGAGCUAGCGUUGUCCGGAAUCAUUGGGCGUAAAGCGCGCGUAGGUGGCCUCAUAAGUCCGCUGUGAAAGUCAAAGGCUCAACCUUUGAAAGCCGGUGGAUACUGUGAGGCUAGAGUACGGAAGAGGCGAGUGGAAUUCCUGGUGUAGCGGUGGAAUGCGCAGAUAUCAGGAGGAACACCGGUGGCGAAGGCGGGUCUCUGGGCCGAUAUUGACGCUGAGGAGCGAAAGCGUGGGGAGCAAACAGG
rnacentral:rRNA from 1 species